UACGUAGGGCGCAAGCGUUAUCCGGAAUUAUUGGGCGUAAAGCGCACGUAGGCGGUUUGUCGCGUCUGCCGUGAAAGUCCGGGGCUCAACUCCGGAUCUGCGGUGGGUACGGGCAGACUAGAGUGAUGUAGGGGAGACUGGAAUUCCUGGUGUAGCGGUGAAAUGCGCAGAUAUCAGGAGGAACACCGAUGGCGAAGGCAGGUCUCUGGGCAUUAACUGACGCUGAGGAGCGAAAGCAUGGGGAGCGAACAGG
rnacentral:rRNA from 1 species